AUAUUAAUAAGCGGAGGAAAAGAAACUAACAAGGAUUCCCCUAGUAACGGCGAGUGAAGCGGGAACAGCUCAAAUUUGAAAUCCUCCCUUCACCGGGACGAAUUGUAGUUUAGAGAAGUGUUUUCUGGGGUAGCUCAGGCAUAGGUCCUUUGGAAAGAGGCGUCAUAGAGGGUGAGAACCCCGUCUGUGGCCUGAAGCCUACUCCUCUGCGAUACACUUUCGAAGAGUCGAGUUGUUUGGGAAUGCAGCUCAAAAUGGGUGGUAAAUACCAUCUAAAGCUAAAUAUUGGCGAGAGACCGAUAGCGAACAAGUACCGUGAGGGAAAGAUGAAAAGAACUUUGAAAAGAGAGUUAAACAGUACGUGAAAUUGUUAAAAGGGAAACGCUUGAAAUCAGUGUUGCAGCCCAGCAAUCAGCCAUCCAUAGGAACGGUGCACUUGCUGGGAGCAGGUCAGCAUCAGUUUGUUGCGGGGUAAAAAGCUGUGUACUCGAUCCUCGCGGUCGAGUCUCAGUCAUGCCUUGCGAUAGACUGAGGACUGCUUUUAUUACAGGAUGCUGACGAAAUGGUUUUAAACGA
rnacentral:rRNA from 1 species